GCGGAGGAAAAGGAAUUAACAAAGAUUCCCCCAGUAACGGCGAGUGAAGUGGGAUGUAGCCCAGCACCGAAUCCUAGCGGCCGAUGCGUCGUGUGGACCUGUGGUGUUCGGGGCCCCGACUUUCGUUCAGCUUCGAUGCGCCUCAGUUUCAUUGAAAGGGCUGUUGCUCCAGAGCGGGUGUCAGACCCUUGUGUAGCGCACGGGCGGACGAAGGUAGAGGGGGCCCCACGAGUCGGGUUGUUUGAGAGUGCAGCCCAAAGACGGUGGUAAGCUCCAUCGAAGGCUAAACACUGCCACGAGUCCGAUAGCGAACAAGUACCGUGAGGGAACGUUGAAAAGGACUUCGAAGAGAGAGUUCAAGAGUACGUGAAACCGCCUAAAGGGAAACGAGUGGCUCCGCAUUGUCGGCCUGCGGUGUUCAUCUCGCUCGCCUGGGCGACCGGUCGUUUCGUAGGACUUGCUUCCGAAGCAUGACACUGGAUUCGAUGCGGGUUGCCUGGCGAGUGGGUGCAUUUGCCGCGAGGCAGGGCGUCACGAUCGCUUCUAUCUGGUGCGCGACCGUCGGCGGUGCUGGCUUGAUCGAGCGUCCCUUCCGAAGGGAUGCACGUCUCGCGCGGCCUGCCGUCCCGCGUGCCUGGGAGCGUGUAACGAUCGGUUCGACUUCGCUGGUCGCUGUCUCUGCUGUCGGAGCCUGCCGUCGGUUCACACUACGUGUGACCGCGCGGUGGCACUGGCGCAGAGCAAGGCGAUCGGCGUGCUGAGCCUUGCAUCGGUGGCGAUUGAGUCG
rnacentral:rRNA from 1 species